ensembl:lncRNA
AUAGAACUGACUGAGAUCCAUUUAUUGCUAAGAGACUGUCUGAAUAUUUGUACAUAGCCAGAGCCACCCCACCCUCCUUCAUCACAUUUCCUAGGAAGGGGGGGGAGAGGGAAACAUGACAGAAACAAAACAGAAGCCUAGGGCUGUAUAGGGAGGAAAUAAGAGAUUUGCAGACUGAUGCUUUUUUUCAUAGCUAUUUUUAUGGCCCUUGCCAUAACUGAGCCAGAACACUAUAGAUUGCUAAUGCAUUUACAGCCUGCUUCUACAAGUGGAGUUGUGGGAAGACUGUGGGGAGCAAGUGGUGGAUGGUAACCAGCCUGUCUGAAGCCUAAGCAAACCUGGCCAUGGUAAUGGAGGAGGUGAUGCUCUGAUAGAAGUUUUCAGCACCUGCCUGCUGAGUGAUAACUGGCUUGGUUUCCUGGUCUCCUGUCAGUGCAGGUUUGGAUGCAGCCAGCUGUUGAAAUGUCAGAUGGUAAAAACAACCAAGAGUUCCAGAUGGGGCAAUUGGAAGAGAAACAUGCUGAAGAUGAUAAUAAGAAAGUUCUGGAUUCUCUCAAGUGGGAGUCCCAUGUCCUCACCUGUGACUUCCAAAUGCAGUCACUGUUCAAGUCUUGUGCAAAGCAGCAUGCCAUGAGGAAGUUCUUCAUUAUUAGGCGUUCCCUCAUUUGACCAGGAGUGUUUGACCAAACCAUAGAGGGUCGGUGUCAUGAGGAGCUCAGAGGAAAUGUCACAGAGCUCUUUGCUGCUGAGUGGGAGGUCAUGAAGAGUUUGGAGUCUGGCUGUGGUGCUGAUACAUAUGAUGGGUUGAUGGAAAGAAGACAAGCCUGCGAGCGAUGCAACGUGGUGGUGCAUUUGAGGACUGACAGAAAUAACGAGAAGGAGCAAGUUGUGCUGAUCGUGGCCUCCUACCUACUGGUCUGCAAAUGGGGCUUCACCAUGCUGAGCUGCUUCUGAGCACUGCAAAUCCACUGAUUCUGACCACCGUUGACUGUGUUAGCCGCUUUGUUAUCCCAGGAACAUGUCUGGAGAACAUGGCUGUCUGCUGAACUCCUCAUGUCUACAGAAGGAAGAGCUAUUGAGUGGUUAUAGCUGAAAGCCUUGCCUAUCUAAGGAAAUGUCAGCAACAUAUUGAAGUUCACCCAUCAGUUCAAAAAAGAGGUGACAGCACAAUCAGUGAUUGAUGGUUCAUGGAAUGAUCAAGAUUUUUAUCGAUUGCUUUCAGCUGUACAUAAAGGCUGCCCUGGAAUUUUAGGAGAAGGAACAAGGCCUACAGGUCCCCCGGAAUUGUGUGAAGGAAGGACUACUCCUGCUCCAUUGGAACCUGUGGUCUAUGUAUGUCCCCAGCAAGACCUUCACAGAACAUCAGGCAAGGGAUUGUACUGGAAGUUUCAGCAGUGUCUGCCAGGCACAACUGCUCUGGGAAAAGGCCAUCCAGCUGUGGUACCCACAGUUAAAGAAGGAUGUUGAAAAAUUGGAGAUAUUUCAGAGAAGAGCCACAAGAAUGACCAAAAGAUUGGAAAACAUGCCUUAGCAGUGGAGUCCAUCUGCUUAGCUUACCAAGCAGCAAGAAAAGUUUUGAGUACUGCUUCCAAGCCAGUUUUAUAAGGAACGUAAGUUCAAAAACCGAAGUCCCUUUAGGGACUAGUAUAACAAGAACUGGAAGUCAAAGGUUGGAUAAGUUCAUAUUAUAUGCAAGCUUCAACUUUUGACAGUGGACACCACUCUUGGAGCAAAAGUCAGGGUUAUGGUUUGUUCUGUCAUUGUCAAGCAGAGAUUGGAUGCUUUUUCCACCUGAUUUGUGCAGCUAUUCAUUCAGAGCAACCUUGAUGCUGGCAUCCUUUCAGAAGUCAGACCUAGCUAAGAAUAGCUGUUGUCUCUAACUUCAUUAAUUUAUAAAUCAGACAUCUCUCUCUAAUUGUUCCUAAUCUAAAUAAGCAAAAUUUUCAGAACAACUUCUUUCUAGUCUGGAUCCUAAACUCUGCUCUCCAGUGUAACCACAGGAUUGGAUAGGAAAAGCAAGAAUUUGUUGGAUGUAUUUGUUUGUGAGGUUUCGGUCACAUGAGAAGCUUAGAGAUUAGAUUAGCAAAGCCUGCUCAUACAGUUCUCACUGUGGGUCAUUCUGUGCAUUGAUGUGUGGCUUUGGCCAUUAUCCUACCACCUUCUUUAAGAAGAGGUUUUCUCCUGGGCAGCACAAAAACACAUUAGCAAUAGUAAGGAUGUCUGCCCUUCUGGUCCACACACUCUGCGUGCUCUGCAAGAAGGAAGUCUUGAAAUAUUCUCCAGCCCUUAAAAUAGAAGAUGGUAUGCCAUGUCUCAAGAUUUGCUGAAUUUAGGAUCGAAUCCAAAUGUUCUUUCAAUGUGAUCAAACCUCAAGUUUGGAGGAUGUCUGAGCCUCAAAUUUAGUUUGUUUCCAUUUUAGAAACACUGCUUUCUGGUCUGCUUGUCUAGGACCACUUAAAAGUCUUCAAAUCAAAGCAGAUCUGUGGCUUUCUGUGCUUCCCUGCUGGGCUGCUUUGAUUUCUGAGCUUUUUCUGAGUUUACCAAAGAGAGGUCACUUUGCCUCCUUCUACAGUUAAGGCGUUGUCACUAGGAUGACAUGAAGUUUGGCAAUUUUGUUGACACUUUGGCCUUAAAUAUUUUAUUUCAAGGCUUUUUGCUUUCUCCAGAAGCUUCUUUGUAAGUCUCAGGUUCUGUUAUGAUUGGAUUUGAUUUUGUAUUCUUAGUUUUCCCCACUUCUGUCUCAUUUUUCUCUUUUAAUUCCAAAUAUAUCAUCAUUUUCUCUGGUUGUGUAGGGAAGCAAUACACCCCUGUUCAAGGCAGCACACAACUUUUCAGCACAGAGGUAGUGCCUGUGGCAGCAUUGGGAAGAAUCCAUGAGACAGCAGUGUCAAGCUCUCUGCACUGGCUUUCUGGCAAGGGUUCUCUCCCUGAGCAUGUUUUUUCAUGGGAUUUUCAACAGUAAUGCUUGUAAGUAUUGGUCAGCUGUAAAUCCUCCAUAUUAUCUUCAUAGAAAGUAGUCCAGAACUCCAGAUUGAUGAUGAUGCUGUCCAGGACACACAUCAGCACUUAAGAGGAGCGCAGCUGUGAACUUGGUGUGUGCAGUUUCUGCCCUUGUGCUAAGUGCUCCAGCCCAUUCAUGCCACCACUGUAACAACAGAGUAUUUACUCUUGGAAAAUAUUUGCAAAUAAAUUUGCAAGAGUAUUUACUCUUGCAAAAACUGGGCUGUACACCAAAUUAUUUGCAUUGUCUUCAGUGCCCACGUUGUUUUGAAAUCUUUUAUGUCAAACUCCAGGAGCUUUGCAAUGCAGGAGGGAAGUGUUUGUUACCAACAUGUUCCCUUCUUCAUCUGAAGGUGUUUACUAUCAUGACUAAACUUACCUGAAUGUUUUAGUUAUUGACAGUUUGUAGACACUGAAGAUAGACUGUGUAAUUAUUACAUGUAAUAGAUGUGUAGAUCAAUUUUACAAAUAUCGUUCCUGGUAUCUUUUAACACAUCUGUUCCUUAAAGAAGUGCUUUAUUGGAAAUUUGGUUUGGAUCAGCUGGAGACCUCUGGAACUACUCGGGUAUAAAACUAGAAAUACAUUUUCCGUUCUGCAUUAUGCUGUCAAUAUUGGGUCUUGUUAGCAUAGGAAGGGGUUGUUGUUGAAAUGAACUUCAUGAGGAUCCAAUCAAAGCAAAAAAUAAUACUGAAAUAUAUCAUACUAAAUCCUGCAAGGUAAGCGUUCUGUCAGGAGGUAAUCUGGAGCAAUAUUUCACCUGGAACAAAAAAAAGAAUGAGGUGGGGAAGAAUCCAAAAACAAGUUUCUGUUUUCUGGAUGUUGUAGUAUGUUUGUUUGUUUGUUUUCAGUUGUUAAAUAAAUGUAUCAUCAGGUUGAAGAAGUCCCUGUUUUAUAGGGGAAAAAAAAAAAAAAGAAUGAAUGUUUGUUUUCUGGGAUAUGUCUUUCAGUAUGCCUAUAUUCUCCCUCAAAAGAGGCCCCACGUGGUAAAUUUGCCCUCUUCAACCAAGCUCACUUUGCCAGUAAGCCUUUCAGCACCAAGCUGUACUGCUUGUGUUCAGACAGCAAAGGGUGAAUCACUGUCUUAAUUAAGGUCAGUAUAUUACAUCGUUGCUAUUCUUCCAGCUAUUCUAGGCUGAUGAAUAAAGAGUGGAAAAUGGGGCACAGACUUUUUUUCCAUUGAACUUUGGUGACUGUCCAGUUUACAGGUAGGUCCUAAACAUUCUCACUGAUAGUGUGCUUUGAUUGAAAUUCACAGUUCCAUCCAAGGUUUUCGUCAAAAGACUGAAUAAGUUGAAUGCAGAAGACAAAGGCAGUUGGAACAUCCCAUUUGCUCAGCUCAUCAUUGGGAAUAAAGAGGAAGGUGGGCCAUUGGUUACAAUGGAAGUGUUCUUUUUUUUAGCAUAGAUCUUUGUAGUUUUGGUGCCCCUUAAUGGUUUUGUUUAAGUCUAAAAUACAUUGGUGGAAAUAAAUCAUACCAAUUUCUCCAACAGUAGCUGGAACUGUAGUUGAAAGCUGGUGCUGGGAGCUGAAGAGGAAAAAAUGGGCAUGGAAGAGAAAUGGAAGUGGGUUCUACAUAACUACAGCGUUUUCUCCCAUUAAUUUCUAUGUGUUUCAUUGCAGGCCUCAAGGCAAAGAAUUUUCUAUUUGGGCUGCAGGAGGGUGUGUUGAAGUGUUGGAAGAGGCAGGAUGAGAGAGCUGCUAUGUUGCUUAGGUAGUUGUUCUUAGAAAAGCAUCGUUGGCAAACCAGCACAAUAAUUUUGCAAAAGAGAAAAAGCAACUUGCCCAGGAAACAGAAUUUUGCUGACAAGGUGUUAAGAAAAGAAAUAUCUGCUUUUAUUUAACUCUGUUCUCUAGAGAGAUUUAGCAUUUUGCUAUGUAGCUCUUUCAUACCAAGCUAACUUCUAAAGUAUAGACAGUUUCUCAGCCAACGUACUUUUUAAAGGUGCAAUACUGCUCCAUUUUCAGAAGGUGUUUGAAUCUUGUUUGACAUAUAUUAAAUCUGUUAUUGUUUCUGUCUUAAAAUGAGGAGCUGUACUUCAAGAUCUGUAAAAAUAGAGAUGACAUGGUUGAAGCUUACAGGAGUCAGCAAUGGACAGUCAUUAAUGAUAGGUCAUUUACCCAAAGUAUCAGAAGAGAGAUCUCACAUGGAUUCCUCUAUACCUCUGGGAGAUUGAUCUCCACGCUCAUCUCUCCACGCCCAAGGCAUGGCCAGUCAGCAGCUCCAAGGAGGGUAUGCUGUCCAUGCUGGUGCUCCAACUGGAUCAUUGGCAACAGUUUUUAAGACACAUGAUGACAGUGCUAAAAUAGUGUUACAAUGCUAUUAUGAAAAGUCUUCUCCACAGUGGAUCUGGAUGCAAAGGAGUGCUUGGAUUCAGUUUGUUGGUGUGGCUUUUCAGUAAUUAUGGAAGAAGAGGGAAGGGAAGAGGGAGAAUAGAGGUGAGGCUUUGGCCAUCUCUUCAGGAUGGUCUGUUGCCAUUUGGAGACUGUCCUACAGAUGUCUCUCUCUAAAAACCAGGAGAGAGGGUGAAAGCAUUUUUGUAUUCAGGCUCCUAUCAACAUAGGAGCACUUGUAGUUAUCCCCCAUCAAGACACAUUAAGUAAGGAUGCCACACAAGAUUAUGAAAGUGCUGUAUUUUAUGACCUCAAUGCAAAACCUCUAUUAGUUUCAACCUGUUUCUGGUAACGUGUCUAAUACUAAAUUAUCUCUUUUAUGUGGUUUGUGUAUUACAUGCUAACCUCAGAUUGCUUUCAUGUGUUCCACUUUGAGGAGUUCAAGAGUUUUGCAGGAAGAGCAGUAAAAUGUGUUUUUGACAAUCUCUUUAGUUUCUAGUCCAAGCUGAGUUUCUAAUGACAGUUUGAGCAGCAAUGAUUACUUGGAACAGCAGGCGUAAGCAGCUUGUGUGCUGCUGACAUGUGUGAGUGCAUGUGCAUAGGAGGCGACUACUAGGGAAAACCUAUUUGGGAAGAGCUGGUACAGCUCUGGUCAAAGGCUGGAACAGCACAAUGAUGAGCAGAUCAGGAUGGACUACGAAACAGCAUUACAGAGGCCUUGUUUUCUCUGGUUAUUGAGAUAGUGUCAGUACCAGCAUGAUAGUGGUCAUGAAGACUGUGCUUUCCACAGUGCCAUGUGCAUUUCCUAAUCUCUUUCAUUUAAAACUGGGUCUUUUACACCACCUGAUCUUACAGUAGUCUUCCAUACGCUACGUGCGUGAAGGAUGAAGUGAGCAGUUACAAGGGGCUGGAUUAACACACAACAUGAAGCAGGAGCAGGGAGACUGAGCCAUGACAGGGUAACACGGUGAUUGCAGCAGAGCCAGGGUGAGGAGCAGAGGCAUGCCAGCAUGCCAGGGCCACGUGCCGGGGAUGCCUAUCCCAGACUGCUUAUGGCCAAUGGCUGUCAGUAUGAUGGAUGCCAUAGCGUGCGUUGGCAGACAACAUGUUCUCUAUGGCCUGCCUCCCUCUGCCAUGCAGGAAACAGGGAUCCUAGGGGCAAGGCACUGGGAAGCCCCGAACAUCCCUGUUUGCAGCACCUGCUUUGUUCAUCCAUGCCAUGGGCCCUCCCCAGAGGAAGAGGUGGGACCACUCCUGCCUCUUCCUGAGCAGGAUGAUCUCAGCAUGAGUCACUUGCAGCACGGUAUGGACCCUGUUUCUGGCACUGGAAACAGUGCCCAACUAGCAGCUGCAUGGUUCAGCACAUCUCUGACGCAGCUAGGGCAGGGCACCUUCCUAACUGAAGCAUUCAAGGGCAAGGCUUGAGUGUGCUGUAAUUUUGCGCGUAGUUCUUGUUGGAGAACAGGAUGCAGUGAGCAGAAGAGGGUGGGGUUGGUGAAAAUCUGUUUCUCUCAUUCUUGGUGGCCGCUGCGUGUCUGCACAGUGUGCUCUUCUGGGGCUAUAAGGAAAGCUGCAGGAGCUGUGAGCUCUUUCCUAGCGGUGUUAGCUGUAACUCAAAGAGAAAUCUUGGUUCACUGGUGUCUCAGUAGGGUCUGAGUGGCUGAGGAUUAUUGCUGAAAUCUCCAGUCGAGUGCCAGCCAUUUUACUGUGAGAAGCUGCCUUGCUUUUGCUUGAGUCGUCUUCUCAAUAUCUCAUGAGAUUCUCAAAUAUCUCCUACACCAACACCUUCUUUUCCUCACAGAGGUCUACUCUUCCUUUGAGUCCCUGGAAAACACUACCCCAAAGCCAUUUGCUUGGGCUGAGUGACAUGCUGAGCAGUUAAUGAACCAGCACAGCUGUGUUAAAGCAUCUCAGCAAUGAAUACAGGCUAAAAUAGAAGCCACAAGCGGGGAACAUGCAAACCCUUCCUGUGCCAGAGAUGAAAUCCAGAGAAUGCUGGGCUGGAUUGCUGGCUUUUCACGCCUCUCGCUAAUUAAAUCCUAGUCUGUAGUCCACUUGUCCACUCCAUCUGAGCUGGUGGCUUCUUAACAGCUUUGUAGGUGCAUUUCCACUGGGGCAUCUUCCAGAAACAACAGAAACUCACACACACCACCUUUAAGCCAGAGACAUGUAAUUAGGUUGUUUUUCGGAAGGUUGGUUUGCUACAGGCAAAUAGCCCAUCACUAAGUUUGAACGGCCAGCUUGUCCAGUUUUUAACCUCACAAAGAUUUUGUUACAGUUAAUCCUUUACUGAUGGUCCCUGCAUCCUGUUCCAAGUAACUUAAAUGAUACAGCUUAAGUCUAUUUAAAAGGAUGGGUGGAGUACUUGUCCCAUUCAUUCCAGUGAAGAAACAAACCCCGGCUAGCCAAAAGGCUUCAAGUAAGAUUGGGUGAUACUCAGAACACGAAGAUUUUUGGUUUGUAUAACAAUCCAAGUGUGGUGAGUGGAAGAAAGUUGUCUAGUUUUUAAUCAACUCAACAUUUGUGCAGAGCUGCAUGUAGAAGUGGAAUCAGUAUUUACUAUGUAGCCAAUUCUCAUAAUUUUAUCAUGAAUUUUGCAAUGUUAUGCUUUUGGGAAAAAAGAAUAACCCACUAUUAUGUAAGAAAUCUAAUUUUCAUUUAAAAGAAAGAAAGAAAAAAAAGUGUUUCUAGCCCUUGCACUUAUGUAGAGUGUGACCUAAGUACACCCCAAAGUAAAAUGAACAACAAAAACCCUCCCCCAAACGUUAUGGUUUCUGAGUCAAGCCCUGUACACUCAUGUUCCAUUUUUCAUUUGAUUUUUUUUUGUUGUUGGCAUUUCUGCAGUUAUAAGUCAAUGGGUGCCCUGAAGGAAAGAUUUGGUCUUCUUUGCCUGAGCUUGCCCUGCAAAAGGCUAUCGGUACAGCUCACCUGUUCAUGAAGUACCAGAUAGACCCAUUGGAAUCAGAGCAAUCUCUUGUUCCUGAGCUCUGCUUCAGUUUUGCUGGUGAAGCUCAAGUCUGAGGCUGUGCUCUGACCAAUCUCUCCUUCCUUUACUGUAAAGACACGGUGAAAUGGUAAUCCCUUUCUGAAGGAGGAAACAGGAUGUUCCUCUCCCUUGGCCUGGCAGCACUGGCCAGCUGUGCACAGCUGCACACCAGCCCAGCAGCAGAAAGUUCAAGUUCACCCUUCCUAAGCAAGGAUCUAUGCCUUGGGCUCAAGCCAAGCUGGCAACCACCAACAGAGAGAAGCAGCACAAAGCAUAGCAGACCCCGCAUAUAGGACCCACGUUUGCACCAUUGCCAUUGCUCCACCACUGAGCUAGAGAGGCUUUCAUGCAGACAAAACUUAAGGACUGUAUUUUGGGCAUGUCUUUGGAAAGGCUUCUAAUCGUUGAAAAGUUCUUCACUUGAAUUCAUCAUCAUCAUCAUCACCGAAUGAGUGACAGGGAUUUAAACCUUAAUAUUGUGUGGUGAUGUGCUGACUGGGAUCUGCAACCUGCUCCCUGUGUCCACAUGGGGUAUGAGGAAUGCCAAGCAGUGCCCACUGUGGUUGCAUACAUCUGUCUGGGCAGAAGAGAGGUGUGUAAAGAAGAUGGUCUGAACUUCAGGAUUGCCCACCUGCUCCUGGGGGUUUGUCUGGAGGACUCAGAUCCUUCCUCCCACUCACCUGUGCAGUAACUGGGUUCUCUUGGUGAAGAUCCACUCCCUUUUUCACAACAGGAUGUAUGAACAGUUUGCAAAAUUUGGAGAAGAAAAAUGGCUGCAGCUCCCUUCAUUGAACUAACUAGUGGGAGGAAGGAAAGAAAAGCCCUGCAGUUAAUUGAAAUAACGAAUUGAAAAGGAAAAUCUCCAGGACACCCCUUGUCACUGGGGUUAGAAAGGCUGUGAUUUUUCCACCCAGCACUGGACAGGCUCCAGGCAAGCUCCAGGAUGAAUUCUUAAUCUGGGAUAGGAACUUUGUUGUCCUGGCUUUAAAUGGUUUAUCAGGAACACAUUCCACAACAAACUACAUCCAGAAAUUCUGGUCUUUUUUAAAGUCAUAAGCAGAACUCGGUGAAUUUUGCUUGGCAGGACCCAGAGAUGGAAAAGAAAGGGCAGAUCAGCAGAAGCAGGCUCAAUUCUCAAAGCGCUGUGUUUUUCCACAGAAGAGAGGAGAGAGCAGAACUGUUGGUAGUCAUUUUUCCCUACUUCUCCAACAGAGCCAGCGGUACUGGGGAGCUGCAGCCCUGAUUAUUACUUGCAAGCAUUUAUUAAUGUGUGUAUUCAUAUAAUGAAGUAGAAUCUCUAUACCAGGUUGUAGCCCUUCCCAUUAAGCUUCUUGACUGUGCCUAUUUCUCUUGCAUUGACUCCUUCAUGUAGUCCAUCAAUUCUUACAUCUGUGCCAGAGAGCAAAGUUACUCAAAGUUCGGCUACUGCUCGAUUUACCGUGCUUUAUCUGUUCUGCAGUACCCAGCUGUAUUCGUGCUCUCAGCCAGCAGCCCUUCAAGGGCAGCCUGUGCCAUGUUCAGCAGAGGGCUCAGCUGCCUGCCCUGGUCCCAGGACAACAGCCUUCCAAUGGGAACUUACCUUAAUGUAAGUAGCGUGCUCUGAAAUUACACCCUUGCUUACCUUGCGGUAACUUGCUCGUGUAGUCAUGGCCUUAAGGUUUUUCUUUCGUAUCCAUGGCCACAACAUCUAAGCAUUUUAUGGUACAGCAUACACUAAACAUUAAUUUCAAAUUAUUGAGACUAUUUUCAUGACUCAACAACUUUCUAAUGACUGUGUACCUUAUUAAACUCUCGCAGCCCUUUAAUAAGAAAGUUUUCCCUCAUCCCUUGGCAUUUAAACACUGUAUAACUGAAAUGAAAUGCAUAGCUGAAGUAUUUUUUUUUUAGGACACUCGAUUUACAGUGAGCCCAAAGCAGCAAAGGACUCUUUGAAAAUCUCUAGAGUGGACACUCCCAGAGCUGUCUGUAUACACUUCGAAUUAAUUAUUCCCUUCAUGGAAAUUGUACAAGAUGUCCCCUUGCUUCUUUCUGACUGCCUUCCUGCCCUUUUCUGAUAAUCCCUCUCUAUCCUCUGGGCUCUCUCUGGUCCUAAACUUAACAUAUAAAGCUAUUUUUAUCUAGGGGUUAGGGUGUGAAUAAAUUCAGAGAAUGUCUCUCAACAUGACUUUAUGUCUGUAAGCCCUCCUUUAACUUGAUUAGAAAUGCUCAGACUUUCUUGCGAGCUGCCUUUGAGCAUCCUCUGGUGAAGUAGCUGCCAUUGGAAGAAUUUCUUCUCCCAUCGGUUGCAGGAGGCAGGGAUCAGCCAGGAGCAAUAGAGAGGCUUAGAGGUAGACCCAAGACUCAGG